rnacentral:rRNA from 1 species
UACGAAGGGGGCUAGCGUUGCUCGGAAUCACUGGGCGUAAAGGGUGCGUAGGCGGGUCUUUAAGUCGGAGGUGAAAUCCUGGAGCUCAACUCCAGAACUGCCUUCGAUACUGUAGAGCUUGAGUUCGGGAGAGGUGAGUGGAACUGCGAGUGUAGAGGUGAAAUUCGUAGAUAUUCGCAAGAACACCAGUGGCGAAGGCGGCUCACUGGCCCGAUACUGACACUGAGGCACGAAGGCCAGGGGAGCAAACGGG